rnacentral:rRNA from 1 species
CUACGUAGGGGGCGAGCGUUGUCCGGAAUGAUUGGGCGUAAAGGGCGCGUAGGCGGCGCGGUAAGUCUGGAGUGAAAGUCCUGCUUUCAAGGUGGGAAUUGCUUUGGAUACUGCCGCGCUUGAGUGCAGGAGAGGUUAUCGGAAUUCCCGGUGUAGCGGUGAAAUGCGUAGAGAUCGGGAGGAACACCAGUGGCGAAGGCGGGUAACUGGACUGCAACUGACGCGGAGGCGCGAAAGUGUGGGGAGCAAACAGGAUUAGAUACCCUGGUAGUCCACACUGUAAACGAUGAAUGCUAGGUGUAAGAGGUAUCGACCCCUUUUGUGCCGGAGUCAACACAAUAAGCAUUCCGCCUGGGGAGUACGGCCGCAAGGUUGAAACUCAAAGGAAUUGACGGG